rnacentral:rRNA from 1 species
CAACGCCGCGUGAGUGAUGAAGGNUUUCGGAUCGUAAAGCUCUGNUGUUNGGGAAGAACAAGUGCAAGAGUAACUGCUUGCACCUUGACGGUACCUAACCAGAAAGCCACGGCUAACUACGUGCCAGCAGCCGCGGUAAUACGUAGGUGGCAAGCGUUGUCCGGAAUUAUUGGGCGUAAAGGGCUCGCAGGCGGUUUCUUAAGUCUGAUGUGAAAGCCCCCGGCUCAACCGGGGAGGGUCAUUGGAAACUGGGAAACUUGAGUGCAGAAGAGGAGAGUGGAAUUCCACGUGUAGCGGUGAAAUGCGUAGAGAUGUGGAGGAACACCAGUGGCGAAGGCGACUCUCUGGUCUGUAACUGACGCUGAGGAGCGAAAGCGUGGGGAGCGAACAGGAUUAGAUACCCUGGUAGUCCACGCCGUAAACGAUGAGUGCUAAGUGUUAGGGGGUUUCCGCCCCUUAGUGCUGCAGCUAACGCAUUAAGCACUCCGCCUGGGGAGUACGGUCGCAAGACUGAAACUCAAAGGAAUUGACGGGGGCCCGCACAAGCGGUGGAGCAUGUGGUUUAAUUCGAAGCAACGCGAAGAACCUUACCAGGUCUUNACAUCCUCUGACAACCCNAGAGAUAGGNCUUUCCCUUCGGGGNCAGAGUGACAGGUGGUGCAUGGUUGUCGUCA